UCGACGCCUCCCAAUAUCAGGUAUUAUCAACUCUUAAAACUCCAUGUUUGUUUGGUAAAUUUUUGAUGUUUAUCUGAUAGAUUGAGAUAAUUUGAAAUCUGAGUUUAUUUUUUGGAUUGUUAUUGUGAUAAUUUGAACCGUUUUUGGGCUGCAUAAAACUUAGGCCGAUUGGUAACAGCUGAAUGUAUUAUGAUGAAAAUACUCGUUCAGGAAGGCAUUUCUAAGAACAGUUUGAGCCCGACUCUCAAACUGGUGAUUUAGAGAGAACAUUGUUGAGUUUGAUUCUUGCUUCUCAGGUCUCCUUCCCUGAAAAACGCAACACAUCAUUCUGAAACAACACACAUUCAAUCCCAACCAUUCAUCGAGUUAAACAACAGAAACAAGCUUUCUCUUUCCUAACUUCUUGACAUCAAUCUUGAGUUUCUCUCAAUGUAAACAGAAAUACAACAGGAACCCAUCUUAUGAUUGAAUAAGUCCCAUCUUAUGUGAAAGUAAUUUCAUAAUCUGAUAAGAUAGUUGAAUCUUUAAGAAUUUUUGAUGAAUUUAAGGUCUUAAUCAUAUUGGUAAAUUAAUUUUGGGAUUUGCUAAUUUUUGAAAUGAGCCGGUUGUUUUGUCAUUGUUAAGCUUUGUUGAGGUUAGAUGGAUACAAGUUGGAUGCAGAAGGGUAGAUGCCACCCUGACUAUUUCCGUGGCUGCGAUGAAUUCAUAAAUUUUGCUUGGUCUCAUCGUACACCUGAUUUAGGUGAGAGUAUUUUUUUCCCUUGUUUGAGAUGCAAUAAUUUUGAUUGGUCUCAUCAUACAAAUUAAUUAUCCUAAUCCUGUUCCUAAGUCGGUCUUGGUUCCCCAAAAAUUAGUUGUAAUAGUAAGGCUAGAAAUAAGAGAAAAACCUUUCUUAAAGAAAUUUUUACAAAUUUAUCAUGUAGUGUAACAUAAGAUUCCCAUCCUUCAAAAGAGGAAUUGGCAGCAUAGAUUCAUAGAUUAGAACUGCAUGCUUAUCGUUGCACCAUGGUGGCCUUAUAUGCCUCUGGACCUUUAAGUUGGGAGCAGGAAGAACUAGUGACAAAUAUUCGUCUUACUCUCAACAUUUCUAAUGAUGAGCAUUUAAUGGAGCUAAAGAAUUUAGUUUCAGCUUAAUCUUGCAUUCGAAUUAGUUGACAGGUAAACAUAUUCAGGUUCGGACUUUAUUUUUGUACUUCUAUCUUUUCCCUUUUGUUACGUUAGGUCAUUUUACUUUAUUGGUGUUACUUAAUUGUAAGAUGCUGAAUGUGUUUUACAAAUUGUUGCUCCUGAUCGAUUAUUCAGUUGUAGUGAUUUACAGAAAGAAUUAGUGUAUCAUAAAAACUAUGUUAAAGCAAUGAAGUGUGGCAUGCCCAAUUCAUCCUGAUAUGGUGAUAUUGUCCUAUUCAUUUUUCUUUAUUUAUUUGGUGGUUGUAUUUUGGAUUGCGGAAUAUUUAGCAUAAUAGCAGUUGUUAUGAGGUCACUGUCAUACUGAGAAAUGAAAGAAAAGUAUUAUAUGGAUGCCUUUUUCCUGCCUACCUUUCCUGUUUACACAUUUUUUUCCCCAAUAUAGAGAUUGUGCUAUGUAAAGUGAUCAGUUUUCAAAUAAAUGGCGUUUUUAUAUUUGACAUUAACAGCAAAAUCCAUCUCUAUUUUGGUUGUUGUUAAAGUUCAUACCAAACUAUAUUCCCCUAUUUUCCGGAAUAGUGUAUGAUGAUGCGUAAACUAUGGUUCUUAUGCAUGACCUAGUUUGAAUUCUUUGAUUUAUUCCCACCCUCCUGAUUUUGUUGCCAUUUACCCUUUUUUUUAAUGAUAUCAUGUGUGAUUGGUCACUUACCUUAAUGUUCUGAGGUACAAUCAGCUUAACAUCCUAUUGAGCGUCUGUACAUACUCAUACUUAGGAUAGGAGAGGGAUGGCUUUUUUUUCUGUGUUAGAAUUCAGGUGCUUCAUUUUUGUUAGUAUACAUCAGUACUUGGAACACUCAAUGAUGUUGUUUACGGAGAUGUAUUUGCUUAGUUUUAGUGUUGCUGCUCAAAACUCACUCUUUUAUUAUAUUCUUGCUUAAGUAUUAUGUAUGAGCUCCUUGAAUAGAUGUGGACAUUACAAAUUAGCAUAUUCCAACAGUCCUCUCUUAGAUUCUAAUAUGAGUGUUCUUCUGAUGUAUGAUUAUAUAGGAAACCUUUUUAUUUUGUUCACGAUGGAAUAUCAACAAAAUGUGGAGCAAGGAGAGCAUUCCAAUUCCGAAACUGCUGUUGAUGUCCUUCGAGAGAGAAAGGUGUGAGGUGAUACCACUUUUGCAUCUUUCAUUGGUAAGAACAAAGAGGAAAAAGAAAGGGAAAUAGUUGAUUGGGAUAUGAAAAAAGGAAAACCUUGUGGAAAAAACCAAGUGAAAUAUUCCGGUGUCAUUGGUGUGUUGAUCAAACAAUAUCGUCGUUGGAACUGGGAAAAGCCUUGGAAUUUGCAAGAUGACAACGCUGAGGAUUGGUUGUGGUCCGAAAUUAAGGCAAGAAGGGUAAUUGGAACAUCAAACAAGCAGCGCCAAAGACUUGGGGAGCAUCCUGGCAUACCAGAGGAGCAAAUUUUUAGACAUUUGUCGUUUUACAGGCUUGGGGAGCAGCCCAGCAGACACGGGCCGAUGCCUUUCAUACCUUUGGAGAAGCGCCAAAGACUUGGGGAGCAGCCUGGCAGACCGGAGGAGCAAAUUUUUGGACCUGCGGAGCCGCUUUACAGGCCUGGGAAGCAGCCCAAUAGACACGCGGCGACGCCUUUCAUACCGUUGGAUCAGCGCCAAAGACCUCAGGAGCUACUCUUUGGACCUGCGGAGCUGCUUUACAUAUCCAGGGACCAACUGAACAGACCUCAAAAUGAUUGAGGUACGUGGGUAACGGGAACAGACGUCUGGGAUUGGAUACCUAGGUCGCCUAAGAGUUGAUUUAACAUGGACUAGGCCAAGUUUGAAUUAUUAGGUUUCUGUAGUUUUCAUUGUGUAAUUUUUUUUGUUUUCUUAUGGUUAAGUGGGAUUCUGUAUGCCUUGUGACAACA